rnacentral:rRNA from 1 species
AGUAGUUUGAUCCUGGCUCAGAACGAACGCUGGCGGCAUGCCUAACACAUGCAAGUCGAACGAGACCUUCGGGUCUAGUGGCGCACGGGUGCGUAACGCGUGGGAAUCUGCCCUGGGGUGCGGAAUAACUCGGAGAAAUCCGUGCUAAUACCGCAUAAUGUCUUCGGACCAAAGAUUUAUCGCCCUGGGAUGAGCCCGCGUAGGAUUAGCUAGUUGGUGGGGUAAAGGCCUACCAAGGCGACGAUCCUUAGCUGGUCUGAGAGGAUGAUCAGCCACACUGGACUGAGACACGGCCCAGACUCCUACGGGAGGCAGCAGUGGGGAAUAUUGGACAAUGGCGAAAGCCUGAUCCAGCAAUGCCGCGUGAGUGAUGAAGGCCCUAGGGUUGUAAAGCUCUUUACCCGGGAUGAUAAUGACAGUACCGGGAGAAUAAGCUCCGGCUAACUCCGUG